GUGCAGCAGUCGCGAAACCUCCGCAAUACACGAAAGUGUGACGGGGCCAUCCCGAGUGCCGUCCGCUGAGGACGGCUUUUUCCCCAGUGUACAUAGCUGGGGGAAUAAGGAGAGGGCAAGCCUGGUGUCAGCCGCCGCGGUAAUACCAGCUCGUCCGAGUGGUGGGGACGCUUAUUGGGCCUAAAGCAUCCGUAGCCGGCUGGGCAA
rnacentral:rRNA from 1 species